rnacentral:rRNA from 1 species
UGCAAGUCGAACGCGUUGGCCCAAUUGAUUGAUGGUGCUUGCACCUGAUUGAUUUUGGUCGCCAACGAGUGGCGGACGGGUGAGUAACACGUAGGUAACCUGCCCAGAAGCGGGGGACAACAUUUGGAAACAGAUGCUAAUACCGCAUAACAGCGUUGUUCGCAUGAACAACGCUUAAAAGAUGGCUUCUCGCUAUCACUUCUGGAUGGACCUGCGGUGCAUUAGCUUGUUGGUGGGGUAACGGCCUACCAAGGCGAUGAUGCAUAGCCGAGUUGAGAGACUGAUCGGCCACAAUGGGACUGAGACACGGCCCAUACUCCUACGGGAGGCAGCAGUAGGGAAUCUUCCACAAUGGGCGCAAGCCUGAUGGAGCAACACCGCGUGAGUGAAGAAGGGUUUCGGCUCGUAAAGCUCUGUUGUUAAAGAAGAACACGUAUGAGAGUAACUGUUCAUACGUUGACGGUAUUUAACCAGAAAGUCACGGCUAACUACGUGCCAGCAGCCGCGGUAAUACGUAGGUGGCAAGCGUUAUCCGGAUUUAUUGGGCGUAAAGAGAGUGCAGGCGGUUUUCUAAGUCUGAUGUGAAAGCCUUCGGCUUAACCGGAGAAGUGCAUCGGAAACUGGAUAACUUGAGUGCAGAAGAGGGUAGUGGAACUCCAUGUGUAGCGGUGGAAUGCGUAGAUAUAUGGAAGAACACCAGUGGCGAAGGCGGCUACCUGGUCUGCAACUGACGCUGAGACUCGAAAGCAUGGGUAGCGAACAGGAUUAGAUACCCUGGUAGUCCAUGCCGUAAACGAUGAGUGCUAGGUGUUGGAGGGUUUCCGCCCUUCAGUGCCGGAGCUAACGCAUUAAGCACUCCGCCUGGGGAGUACGACCGCAAGGUUGAAACUCAAAGGAAUUGACGGGGGCCCGCACAAGCGGUGGAGCAUGUGGUUUAAUUCGAAGCUACGCGAAGAACCUUACCAGGUCUUGACAUCUUGCGCCAACCCUAGAGAUAGGGCGUUUCCUUCGGGAACGCAAUGACAGGUGGUGCAUGGUCGUCGUCAGCUCGUGUCGUGAGAUGUUGGGUUAAGUCCCGCAACGAGCGCAACCCUUGUUACUAGUUGCCAGCAUUAAGUUGGGCACUCUAGUGAGACUGCCGGUGACAAACCGGAGGAAGGUGGGGACGACGUCAGAUCAUCAUGCCCCUUAUGACCUGGGCUACACACGUGCUACAAUGGACGGUACAACGAGUCGCGAACUCGCGAGGGCAAGCAAAUCUCUUAAAACCGUUCUCAGUUCGGACUGCAGGCUGCAACUCGCCUGCACGAAGUCGGAAUCGCUAGUAAUCGCGGAUCAGCAUGCCGCGGUGAAUACGUUCCCGGGCCUUGUACACACCGCCCGUCACACCAUGAGAGUUUGUAACACCCAAAGUCGGUGGGGU